rnacentral:tRNA from 1 species
GCGCCUGUAGCUCAGCAGGAUAGAGCGACCGCCUCCUAAGCGGUUGUUCAAUCCUCACUAUUUACAAUUUCAUUUGAUAUACGCGCCA